rnacentral:rRNA from 1 species
AGCAGCCGCGGUAAUUCCAGCUCCAAUAGCGUAUAUUAAAGUUGUUGCAGUUAAAAAGCUCGUAGUUGAAUUUCGGGGUUCAUACGUUGGUCGGGCUAUUUGGUCUGUACUUAUGUAAUGGAUUCCUACCUUCUGAAUAACCGGCAUGCCAUUAAUUUGGUGCGCCGGGGAAGCAGGACUGUUACCUUGAAAAAAUUAGAGUGCUUAAAGCAGGCUAUCGCCUGAAUACAUUAGCAUGGAAUAAUGAAAUAGGACGGCAUGGUUCUAUUUUGUUGGUUUCUAGGAUCACCGUAAUGAUUAAUAGGGAUAGUUGGGGGCAUUAGUAUUCAAUUGUCAGAGGUGAAAUUCUUGGAUUUAUUGAAGACUAACUUCUGCGAAAGCAUUUGCCUAAGGAUGUUUUCAUUAAUCAAGAACGAAAGUUAGGGGAUCGAAGACGAUCAGAUACCGUCG